AAACUUUCAACAACGGAUCUCUUGGCUCUGGCAUCGAUGAAGAACGCAGCGAAAUGCGAUACGUAAUGUGAAUUGCAGAAUCCAGUGAAUCAUCGAAUCUUUGAACGCACAUUGCGCCCGGCAGCAUUCUGCCGGGCAUGCCUGUUCGAGCGUCACC
rnacentral:rRNA from 1 species